rnacentral:tRNA from 1 species
GGUGUUGUGGCUCAGAGGUAGAGAGCUCGCCUAGUAUGCGUGAGGCACUGGGUACGAACCUCAGCACCA